rnacentral:misc_RNA from 1 species
GGGCUGCACUUCGGUGCUGCCC